CCUACGGGAGGCAGCAGUGGGGAAUAUUGCACAAUGGGGGAAACCCUGAUGCAGCGACGCCGCGUGAGUGAAGAAGUAUUUCGGUAUGUAAAGCUCUAUCAGCAGGGAAGAAAUAGCGACCUUUGGGUCGCCAGACGGUACCUGUUUCAGAAGCCCCGGCUAACUACGUGCCAGCAGCCGCGGUAAUACGUAGGGGGCAAGCGUUUUCCGGAUUGAUUGGGUGUAAAGGGAGCGUAGACGGCAGCGCAAGUCUGAAGUGAAAUGCCGGGGCUUAACCCCGGAACUGCUUUGGAAACUGUGCAGCUAGAGUGCAGGAGAGGUAAGUGGAAUUCCUAGUGUAGCGGUGAAAUGCGUAGAUAUUAGGAGGAACACCAGUGGCGAAGGCGGCUUACUGGACUGUAACUGACGUUGAGGCUCGAAAGCGUGGGGAGCAAACAGGAUUAGAUACCCCAGUAGUG
rnacentral:rRNA from 1 species